GUCAACGGACAGCAUUGGUAGUUUAGACUUUCAACAUACCAAGUAAGCUUUACUUGAGCAAUAUUAAUUCAGGGGUAUUGUGGUAAUUGUACUCCAAGAUUUAAAACCUCGGCACUCCACCGCCACUGUUCCGGCGGAGUAAUGGACUACAAGCGGAGGCUAAUCGCGGCGGCGAAGUACGUCUACGGCGGAGACUCGCGCGCCACCGAAGGAGCGCGUGUCGAUCCAUCUGAUUUUGCGGUCACGGCGGCGCUUAAACCUCAUCAAGUCGAAGGUGUCUCGUGGCUCAUUCGACGGUACCACCUCGGCGUCAAUGUCAUACUUGGGGACGAGAUGGGACUCGGGAAGACUUUGCAGGCUAUCUCUCUUUUGAGUUACUUGAAAAUUUGUCAGAAGUCUCCUGGGCCGUUCUUGGUGUUAUGUCCUCUUAGUGUGAUUGAUGGUUGGGUGUCUGAAGUGGGCAAGUUUGCUCCAAAAUUGAGACUGCUCCCUUAUGUUGGAGAAAAGGAACACAGACGUACAUUACGAGGGGAGAUGCAUGAACAUGUAAAAGAGCUGUCAUUAUCAUCUCAUAUCCCAACAUUGCCAUUUGAUGUGCUAUUGACAACGUAUGACAUAGCAUUGAUCGAUCAAGAUUUUCUCUCUCAGUUCCCAUGGCAUUAUGCAAUAAUUGAUGAGGCACAGAGACUCAAAAAUCCUUCGAGUGUCUUAUAUAAUGUUCUAAGAGAGCAAUUUGUCAUGCCAAGAAAAUUGUUGAUGACGGGAACACCUAUUCAAAACAAUAUUACUGAACUUUGGGCUUUGAUGCACUUCUGUAUGCCAUUAAUCUUUGGAACACUGGAGCAUUUCGUCGCUGAUUUCAAGGAAGCUGGAGAUCCUUCUUGCGAAGAUACAGAAAAAGUGAAGGAACAAUUUAAGAUUUUAAAAUAUGUGCUGGGAGCAUUCAUGCUUCGAAGGACCAAAUCUAUGCUUGUGGAAUCUGGAACUCUGUCACUGCCGCCUGUUACCGAAAUAACCGUGAUGGCACCUUUGUCUCCCCUACAGAAGAAGGUUUAUGUGUCAAUACUGAGGAAGGAACUUCCGAAGUUGGUUGCACUUGCUUCUGGAGCUUCCAGUGCUCAAUCGUUGAAUAAUAUUGUAAUUCAGCUUCGGAAAGCAUGUAGUCACCCAUACCUCUUUCCAGGUAUUGAGCCUGAACCGUAUCAGGAGGGUGAGCACCUGGUUCAGGCUAGCGGAAAACUUCUAAUUUUGGAUCAGCUACUUCAGAAGCUGCAUGACAGUGGACAUCGAGUUCUAUUGUUUGCGCAGAUGACUCAUACGCUUGAUAUAUUACAGGACUUCUUAGAAUUGAGGAAAUAUACUUAUGAGCGACUUGAUGGUUCAAUUCGAGCGGAGGAGCGCUUCGCUGCAAUCAGAAGGUUCAGCCAAAAUUCUGUCACUAAAAGUGCCAGUUCUGAUGCUUAUAUUAGCAGUCCAUUUGUCUUUUUGAUUUCCACACGAGCUGGGGGAGUGGGGUUAAAUCUUAUGGCUGCUGACACGGUCAUAUUUUAUGAGCAGGAUUGGAAUCCCCAAGUGGAUAAGCAGGCUCUGCAGCGUGCUCACAGAAUUGGUCAAAGCAAUCAUGUCUUGUCUAUUAAUUUGGUUAUAGGGCGUACGAUUGAGGAGGUUAUUAUGCGUAGAGCAGAACGAAAGUUACGGCUGAGUCAUAAUGUUAUAGGGGACAAUAUUUUGGAGCAUGAGGGAGGUAAUAUUGGAGGGACUGAAGCUGGUGAUCUGAAAUCUGUCAUAUUUGGGUUGCAUGUUUUUGAUACCACGGAGAUGAAUAUGGAAAAAUCAGAUAAUCUACUAGAUAUGGGCGAACUGAUCGAUUUGGCUGAAAAGGUUAUUGCGUCCCGCCAUGAGUUACAAUCAGACGUGAGUGACAGGAGGUUUGAGAUCAAUCCAAUGAAUCUGAUGGAUGGUCAUGAUCUAGUCAUGAAAGAGAGGUCUCAGUCUAUUGAUUUUGAUCCUGGCCUUGAUGAGGCUUCAUACAUGUCAUGGGUUGAGAAGUUCAAGAAAGCAUCAUCAGCAGAUGACACUGAUAUGCUGGAAUUAGGGAAUAGGAGAAGCUUACCUGAUGAAAAACACAUUAAAGCUGAAGCUGCUCGCAAGAAGGCAGAAGAGAAGAAACUAUCUAAGUGGGAAGCUCUUGGAUAUCAUUCAUUAUGUGUCAGUAGUCCUGUUCCUCCGGCCAAUCAGGAUAUGAUGUCGGAUUCUGGUUCAGUUCAUUUUGUUUAUGGGGACUGCACAAACACUGCAGCAAUUUGUCCUUCUGAGCCAACUAUUAUAUUCAGCUGUGUUGAUAAUUCUGGAAACUGGGGGCAUGGGGGCCUUUUUGAUGCACUGGCUAGGCUUUCAGCUACCAUUCCCAACACAUACGAGCAAGCUUCAGAAUUUGGGGAUCUCCAUCUCGGAGAUCUUCAUCUCAUAGCAGUAACUGAGGACCAUAGUGUGUCACGUACUAGUAAUGCUCCUCAAUGGGUAGGUUUAGCUGUUGUGCAGUCAUAUAAUCCCAGGCGUAAAGUCCCUCGCAGUAGUAUCUCCAUUGCUGAUUUGGAAGUUUGCCUUGCGAAAGCAUCAUUUUCAGCUGCUCAAUAUUCUGAGAGUCAUCUUAUGACUGACAUAAUUUACUGCAAUGGAGUUCUGUAGAUAAGUAGGUCGGUAGAUUAUUGAUAGACAUGGCACAGGCAGGUCUUCUACAUUUUCUAAAGAAGGACAAAUGAGAACGAAUGAAAAUAGAAAGUUGCUGUCAGUGGAAAGGGAGACUGGAGAGAGGCCAAGAGGUUCUUCCUAUGCAGAUUAUGAUUGUUUCUAAAUCUCAUCAGCUUCGAUCCACAUGCCGCGUAUUAAUUAUCAAGAUGGUUCAGAUCGUUCAGAAUGGUAUUCUGUUGAACGCCUUCUACGAAAAUAUGCAGCCAUGUAUGGCAUAAAUAUAUAUGUAUAUUAUUACAGACGUG